rnacentral:tRNA from 2 species
GGAUGUAUGGCAGAGAGGUUUAUUGCGUAAUAUUUGAAAUAUUAAGAUAUGAAUGUAUCCACGUGUUCGAAUCACGUUACAUCCG